rnacentral:lncRNA from 1 species
AAAGUUCAUUUGUUUGUCUGUCUUUGUCUGUGUCGCUGUCGCACAAACAUUUGUUUUUGUACAACUGGGGAUUUAUCGCGUGUAUUUUUUUUCAGCCUAUUAUUAUUAUUAUUCAUAGCCACAAGAAUUUGUUUAGGUUUAGGGUGGUACCACGUGUUAAUUUAUCAGUACAAUAUCAUGAUCUUACACUAAACAAUUAUUCUUCCUUUCAGGUCAAAUUUUGCUAAGCCAUUGUCUAGUCUAAUUGGGAACAAAUUUUAUAGUCAAAUUCUUUA